rnacentral:snRNA from 1 species
GUGCUCACUUCAGCAGCACAAAUACUAAAAUUGGAACGAUACAGAGAAGAUUAGCAUGGCCCCUGUGCAAGGAUGACACACAAAUUUGUGAAGCGUUCCAUUUAAAA